AUCUUAUAUUUGUUUGAUUUCAGGAUUGUUACAGCAGGGCCUUACAGAAAUCAGACGCUAAAAGACAGAAAGUUCUUCUUCGUAUCAUCAAACGCCUGUUGAGUACUGAAAAGGCACAUGUAGAUCUGAUGAAACAACACGGUGAAGACUUGGCCAUGACGAUACGUAACCUUGUACAGACAGGAAAUUCUCAUGCUGAUGUAGCUUUGACGUCUCUUGCGGCUGAUAUUUUAAAAUUGACAGAUUUUCAUCAGUGACCAGAAAGAAAAGGAGUAGAAAAACUAACUUUGGCUGUGAUUGUUUACAUUCCAUUUUUACCUGAUCUGAACAAACAUCAGGACUGGACAAUAACCCCACUAUCUGAUGGCCAUUGUGAUAAUGCCAGGUACAGUGUGUGACCAGUGAGAUUUUAAUUCUAACUUACCAUGUACUGGUGUAGUACUGAAGAGACAGAAAUCCUGAGUAACUACUGGUGUUUCCUGUUAAGGGUGUAUCAUACAUUUACCGUGGUUAUCAUAACGUACACCACCUGACAGGCUAUAUAGGACAGUAACUACUGGUGUUUCCUGUUAAGGGUGUAUCAUACCUUUACUGUGGUUAUCAUAACGUACACAACCUGACAGGCUAUAUAAGACAGUAACUACUCGAGUCUCCUAUUAAGGGUGUAUCAUACCUUUACCGUGGUGACCAUAACAUACACCACCUGACAGGCUAUAUAAGACAGUUCACUAUUUGUGUCUCAUACCUUGAUGGCAGUUAUCACAUAUUGUUUAGUUAUGUGUAUGAAAUCUUCAUCUAGAGGAUAUAUAAGAUUAUCCACUUUGUUGUUAAAAGGAUCACAUCAAAAUGAAAUAUUUAUUGUGAAUCAGAUUAAAAGGAUCACAUCAAAAUCAAAUAUUUAUUGAGUAUCAGAUUAAACUCGCUUAAAUAUAUUAUAAAAACCACAUGGAUUUAACUAUUAAAAUACAAGUUGUUUUCUACUGACCUGGCUAGAGACAAUUUCUCUUUAUCUCGUUUCAUGGAGUGUAUAAGUUUACCUAGCCUGGGGUUCUGUCACUCGCAGACAUUGGGGAAGUUAUGACCUCUGUUUUGAUACAUAAAUUCUGUGAUUUUUUCAGCCUCUUCAGGGGUCAACUGGAAAACAUGCUUGUUCUGAAGGCAUGGAUAUUAAAGUUAUAUCUGCUGUUUUCCUCCCAAUGCUAGUGGUCUUAAUCUUACUUCCCUUUGGUAUAUGACGUUAACAUUUUUAUACAGAUCGAGUGCAUGUAUACCUAACAAUUUACCCGUUAUUGUAUUGAUUGGGAAGUCUAGACCUUGUAUCUGUAAGAUGAUUAUCUAAGUUUUAUCAAUAUAUUAAUGAUGUUAUUCAUUGGCUAAUUAAAGUGGGAAAAGUACUAGAACCUUACACAAACAUUGCACACCGUUCACCAAUGAAAGGAAUAGUGUACUCUAUUCCAUGAUAUAUACAAAUGUCAUUAAAGAAAGUAAACAUUUGUUUUAAUGGUUAAUUAUGGUUUCAAGUUUAAGGUAUUAAAUAUAAUUGUAUUACUGCAGGUGAGGUAUGUGUCUCCCAUUUUAUUUCUGGAUUGAUUUUACCAAUCAUGGUAUAGUUUAAUUUGAAGGCAUGUCCGGAAAUUAUUAUCUAUAAGCUUUCUUUAUUCUUUUAUCUAUUUAUUAAUUUUUCCUCAUAAUUUAUUUCACAAUCAAGAAUAGUCAUUCGCUGGUAUAUUUUUUCCAAACCUUGCAAUUCAAAUCACCAACAUGGAUGACAUGAACAAGAUAUAUUUUCUACCUCUUUUAGUAAGUAAUGUAAAGCUUGUGUGUCAGAAAUGGGUAUGAGUGACCCCUUGGGGGUCAUCAACAAUUAUUGCAAUUUUUCAGAUUGAUAUACCUGUAUUGAGCUGUACUAACAGUUUUGCAAUCAAAGUGAAUCUGUUGUUAUUUAAUGGAAAGUGAAUCAUACAGGCACUAUAAGCCUUUUAUUUUGGUUUAUGUGACAAUAUUUUCCUGAGAAACUCUCAUAUUCAUUGUAUGAUCUUAGGGUAUACAGUACUUUAUGUCCAUCCAUAUUGCACUUUUUGUGUUCAGACAUAUUUCGAUCCAAGUCAAAUGAAUGCUUGUAUGUUAUUAAUGUGUGUGCAAGAAGGUUGUGAAUAAAUUUUUAUAUGAAA